AAGAACACUGUAAUUAGAGACUGCCGCAGGGUGUGUCAUAAUUGUUUACGCUGUUUAUGAAAAUUACCAAUGUGAAAGACCAGCAGAAACAUAUAGCUCAACCUAGUUUAAGAUGAGACCAUUCCUAUUGGGACCAGGUAAUUCCAUUUAGAAAGACAGAUUAUUAGACUUGGAAGGGACUAGUGAUUCUAGCCCAUCGCCUCUGUUUUUAUGGAUGAAGCCAUAGGCCCAGAGAGGCAGAGUAACUUACUCAGGGUUACACAGCUUGUUACAGCUAGUUAGUUCGAGAGUUCGGACCUGAAUCUUAGCCUUCAGCUACGUGGUGGUUAUCCUUUUCUAUACCAUAGUUAGCUUCUUUCAGGAGUGCUCAAGAUUACUCUAAAAAAAGAUUCUUAAGUCAAAACAAGACAAAGGAACCUCCAAGAUCCCUCAGAACUUGCUCAUACUGAAGCCUCUUAAGGAAUCUCCCAUGCAAAAACCUUAAUUUACUAUACAGAUCAAUUAGGGUGUAAUUUGUAAUUAUUCAUAAUACAAAAUAAUUAUCUGAUUUACAAAGGACUCCUCUAAAUAGUAGCUCUUUAUUUGUGCUUUACAGAUGCUAACUCAUUAACAUACUGGCUAGGCUGGGUGGUAGAGAGAACUAAGUAAAAGGUUAGGAGACACUACCUGUUGAAGAUCAUUUAGAAUGGAGAUAAGAGGGUAUGAAAUAAUGUUUGUCAAAGAAAGAUUAUCUGAUUUAUAGAGAGAUACCAGUCCACAUGGCAAGGAAUUGUGGCUGCAUCUGCCCACAGCCAUGUGAACAAGCCAUUAUGAAGCGAGUCCUCCAGCCCCAGUCAAACCUUCAGAUAAUGGCAGCCCCAGUCUAAGUCUUGACUGCAACCUCCUGAAAGACUCUGGGCCAGAGCCACCAGUGAGACAAUAAAUGCUGAUUUAAACUGCUAAAUGUUGGGGUAAUUUGUUAGGCAGUAAUAGAUAACUAAUACAAUCCUCCUUCACAUUUGCAGUUUGCCUAUGUGAUAACUUAGGUCUUCACGAUGGCCCAGAGUAAGACGACGCAGGAGGACCCUUCUAGUCAUUUAAUUAUUGCUUGACCAGAACUGUGCCUUGUAAGAAAUGCUUGCUGUUUGGAAACUUGUGAAGACCUGCAUCCCUUUGUAUCUCAAAUAAAGACAGAGGUGUUUCCAGACCUAAGAAUAACAGGAACAUGGAGGAGUGGCAUCUCCAGUGUAGCCACCCACCAAAGCCUCAUCCUGAACACUAUGGCCUAGUGGGUCACUUACAG
rnacentral:lncRNA from 1 species